rnacentral:rRNA from 1 species
AAUGGGGGAAACCCUGAUCUAGCCAUGCCGCGUGAUCGAUGAAGGCCUUAGGGUUGUAAAGAUCUUUCAGAUGGGAAGAUAAUGACGGUACCAUCAGAAGAAGCCCCGGCUAACUCCGUGCCAGCAGCCGCGGUAAUACGGAGGGGGCUAGCGUUAUUCGGAAUUACUGGGCGUAAAGCGCACGUAGGCGGAUCAGAAAGUCAGAGGUGAAAUCCCAGGGCUCAACCUUGGAACUGCCUUUGAAACUCCUGGUCUUGAGGUCGAGAGAGGUGAGUGGAAUUCCGAGUGUAGAGGUGAAAUUCGUAGAUAUUCGGAGGAACACCAGUGGCGAAGGCGGCUCACUGGCUCGAUACUGACGCUGAGGUGCGAAAGCGUGGGGAGCAAA